rnacentral:tRNA from 1 species
GCGGUUGUAGCUCAGUCGGUUAGAGCGCCAGAUUGUGGUUCUGGAGGUCGUGGGUUCGAGCCCCAUUAGCCGCCCCA